AUGAAAACGGUGGACGAAACUGAUUCGAAAUCGCAAAUGGCGGAGUCAGUGUUAAAGAUGACUGAAUCAUCUAGCGGAAGUCAAACAGAGCAAGAUGUUGAGACAGAGAGUUCGAACGAAGAAGACGAAAUCAUAGAAGUAGGGGAAAGACGGAGACAAGUUAUCAUGGAGAGGAUGCGAGGCGAAGGGAAACCGGAGAGAUAA